rnacentral:rRNA from 1 species
GACGUAGGGCGCGAGCGUUGUCCGGAUUUAUUGGGCGUAAAGAGCUCGUAGGUGGUUUGUCGCGUUGUUCGUGAAAACUCACAGCUCAACUGUGGGCGUGCGGGCGAUACGGGCAGACUAGAGUACUGCAGGGGAGACUGGAAUUCCUGGUGUAGCGGUGGAAUGCGCAGAUAUCAGGAGGAACACCGGUGGCGAAGGCGGGUCUCUGGGCCGAUACUGACGCUGAGGAGCGAAAGCGUGGGGAGCGAACAGG